AGUAAAUUUGUUUGAUAAUUAAGUAGAUUUGUUUGAGAUUUAAAUAGAUAAAUAAUAGUAGUAUGGUAUAUAAGGUAUAGAUUGUUUUUUUAUUUGUAAAAUAAAGAUAUUAAUGUUUAUAUUAGGGAUAUAGUGAGGUUUAAAUGAAAUAUCGUGUGUAGUAUAUAGUAAGAGUAUAUAUGGUAUGUAAGAGUAAUAAUGGUACGUAUUAUUAUUAAUAGAAA
rnacentral:misc_RNA from 1 species